rnacentral:rRNA from 1 species
GUGACCUGCGGAGGAUCAUUAACGAAAUGGCCUGACAUUACAUACACCUGUGCACCCGGCGGACGUCCCACAAAGACGUUCACUACACUUUACAAUGAUGCCUGUAACGAAGCCUGUCUUGUCGAGCUCUACGGAGCGUUAAACGAAUACAACUUUCAACAACGGAUCUCUUGGCUUUCGCAUCGAUGAAGAACGCCGCGAAAGUGCGAAACGUAAUGUGAAUUGCAGAAUUCAGUGAAUCAUCGAAUCUUUGAACGCAUCUUGCGCUCCUUGGUAUUCCGAGGAGCAUGCCUGUUUGAGUGUCGUGAAGCCUCUCGAAACCCAAGUCUUGUUUUUGACUUGUGGGGUCGGAUUUGGACGUUGCCGUGAAUGAAACGGCUCGUCUCGAAACGCAUUAGCUGUUCCCACUACAAGACAACGGUGUGAUAAGAAAAAUUCGCUCGCGUCUGAAGGGGGGACGGCUCACAAAGUCACCUUUUAACUCUGACCUCAAAUCAGGUAGGACUACCCGCUGAACUUAA